CCUACGGGGGACAGCAGUGAGGAAUAUUGGUCAAUGGACGAGAGUCUGAACCAGCCAAGUAGCGUGAAGGAUGACGGUCCUCUGGGUUGUAAACUUCUUUUAUAAAGGAAUAAAACGAGGCACGUGUGGCAUUAUGCAUGUACUUCAUGAAUAAGAACUGCCUAACUCCGUGACAGGAGCCGCGGUAAUACGGAGGAUCCGAGCGUUAACCGGAAUUAUUGGGUUUAAAGGGAGCGUAGGUGGGGUGUAAAGUCAGUCGUGAAAGUUUUCGGCUCAAACGGAAAAUUGCAAUUGAUACUGGCAGUCUUGAGUACAGGAGAGGUAGGCGGAAUUCGUGGUGUAGCGGUGAAAUGCUUAGAUAUCACGAGGAACACCGAUGGCGAAGGCAGCUUACUAAACUUUGACUGACAUUGAUGCUCGAAAGUGUGGGGAGCAAACAGGAUUAGAUACCCGGGUAGUC
rnacentral:rRNA from 1 species